UACGUAGGGUGCGAGCGUUGUCCGGAAUUAUUGGGCGUAAAGGGCUCGUAGGCGGUUUGUCACGUCGGGAGUGAAAACUCGGGGCUUAACCCCGAGCCUGCUUCCGAUACGGGCUGACUAGAGGUAUGCAGGGGAGAACGGAAUUCCUGGUGUAGCGGUGAAAUGCGCAGAUAUCGGGAGGAACACCGGUGGCGAAGGCGGUUCUCUGGGCCUGUACUGACGCUGAGGAGCGAAAGCGUGGGGAGCGAACAGG
rnacentral:rRNA from 1 species